rnacentral:tRNA from 2 species
GCCGAUGUAGCUCAGUGGUAGAGCAUUUCCAUGGUAAGGAAAAGGUCGUGAGUCCAAUUCUCACCAUCGGCU